rfam:Tetragenococcus muriaticus 3MR10-3 WGS_Sequence021_046, whole genome shotgun sequence.
AAAUGGAAGUAGAAGCACCCGCUUCUCGCCUUAGCGACAAAUGUGGCUGGGCAGAAUAGUUAUUUUACACUAGGGAUCGUUAUGUCUUAGUGCAAAAGUACGUGCGGGUUCUUAUAGAAGAACUCGUUUUUUUAUGAAAAA